rnacentral:siRNA from 1 species
UAAAGUUUGAUGUGUUACUAG